CAGUCGCCACGGGAAUACGGAGGGUGCAAGCGUUAAUCGGAAUUACUGGGCGUAAAGCGCACGCAGGCGGUCUGUCAAGUCAGAUGUGAAAUCCCCGGGCUUAACCUGGGAACUGCAUUUGAAACUGGCAGGCUAGAGUCUUGUAGAGGGGGGUAGAAUUCCAGGUGUAGCGGUGAAAUGCGUAGAGAUCUGGAGGAAUACCGGUGGCGAAGGCGGCCCCCUGGACAAAGACUGACGCUCAGGUGCGAAAGCGUGGGGAGCAAACAGGAUUAGAUACCCGGGUAGUCCCUGUCUCUUAUAC
rnacentral:rRNA from 1 species